rnacentral:rRNA from 1 species
UACGGGGGGUGCAAGCGUUACUCGGAAUUACUGGGCGUAAAGCGCACGCAGGCGGUCUGUCAAGUCGGAUGUGAAAUCCCCGGGCUCAACCUGGGAACUGCAUUCGAAACUGGCAGGCUAGAGUCUUGUAGAGGGGGGUAGAAUUCCAGGUGUAGCGGUGAAAUGCGUAGAGAUCUGGAGGAAUACCGGUGGCGAAGGCGGCCCCCUGGACAAAGACUGACGCUCAGGUGCGAAAGCGUGGGGAGCAAACAGG